CCGAACCCACGCAUGUUGCAAAAUGCGGGGAUGAGCUGUGGAUAGGGGUGAAAGGCCAAUCAAACACCGUGAUAGCUGGUUCUCCCCGAAAUGCAUUUAGGUGCAGCGUUGCGUGGUUCUUGUUGGAGGUAGAGCACUGGAUGGUCUAGGGGGCUUAUCGGCUUACCGAAAUCAGCCAAACUCCGAAUGCUGGCAAGCGUAGCGUGGCAGUGAGACGGCGGGGGAUAAGCUUCGUCGUCGAGAGGGAAACAGCCCAGAUCAUCAGCUAAGGCCCCUAAGUGGUGACUCAGUGGGAAAGGAUGUGGAGUUGCGUAGACAACCAGGAGGUUGGCUUGGAAGCAGCCAUCCUUGAAAGAGUGCGUAAUAGCUCACUGGUCAAGUGAUUCCGCGCCGAUAAUGUAGCGGGGCUUAAGUUAUCCGCCGAAGCUGUGGCAACCUGUGUGGUUGGGUAGGGGAGCGUCGUGUCAGUGGUGAAGCUGCCGGGUGACUGUGUGGUGGAGUUGAUGCGAGUGAGAAUGCAGGCAUGAGUAGCGUGUGACGGGUGGGAAUCCCGUCCGCCGAUUAUCCAAGGGUUCCAGGGUCAAGUUUGUCUGCCCUGGGUGAGUCGGGUCCUAAGGCGAGGCCGACAGGCGUAGUCGAUGGGUAACCAGUUGAUAUUCUGGUACCGGCUUGUCACCGUCCGUGUCGAGGUGUGUGAUGCUAAGCAUGUGAGCUUGUCUUGGGAGUGUUUUUGAUGCUUCUGGGGUGGGUGAGUGUGUGAACCGAUCAUGUAGUAGGCAAGCUGCGGAGGGACGCAGUGAGGUAGCUCAUCCCCGGUGAUGGUUGUCCGGGGCUAAGUGUGUGGACUGUCUGGUAGGUAAAUCCGCUGGGCGUGAAGGUUGAGGCAUGAUGGGGAGCCCACGGUUGUGGGUGAGUGAGUGAUCCUGUACUGUCGAGAAAAGCUUCGUGAGCGAGGUGGCGGGUCCGCCCGUACCCUAAACCGACACUGGUGGAUAGGUAGAGUAUACCGAGGCGAUCGAGUGAAUCGUGGUGAAGGAACUCGGCAAAAUGCCCCCGUAACUUUGGGAUAAGGGGGACCUGA
rnacentral:rRNA from 1 species